AUGUCCGGAUAUACCACAUGGAUUCACCAUGGAGAAAGUACGCGGCCCUCCAAAGCAACUACUGGUCCUGGUUCACAAUUUGAAGAAUAUGCUGAUAGUGAUGAGAUGGAUGAGAUGCUACUAGAAGGAUUUGGGAUGUACGAUACUCGUACUUUAGGAGAGGAGCAAGAGUCUGAAGAUGAUUUGGAUGAUGACGCUCAGGCAUACUAUAGAUUAUUUAAUGAUGGACGCCAAGAGUUGUACCCAGGUUGCAAAAGAUUGUUGAAGCUGCAAUUUUUGGUGAGGUUGCUUCAUAUCAAGAAUAUGAGGGGAAUGAGCAAUGUCUACUUUGAUGAGGUAUUGACGCUAAUUAAGGAGGCACUUCCAAAAGGUCAAGCGUUGCCCAAAAAUUUUCAUGGGGGCAAAAAGUUUGUGAGAGCCAUUGGUGUUGGAUAUGAUAGUAUAGAUGCAUGCAAAAACGAUUGCAUUCUAUUUAGGAAGGAACAUGCUGAUGCCAUUGUUGGGGAACUGUGUGGCACAAGUAGAUGGAAGAGUGUAAAUACUGGAGUUGAUGGAAGGCGUGUCCACAAGGUGCCUCAAAUGGUGGUUCAUCAUUUCUCGCUAAAGAAGAGACUCCAAAGGUUGUUCGCUUCUACAAAGACGGCAUCGGAUAUGAGGUGGCACAACGAAGGCUGCACAAAGGACGGCUUGAUAUGA
rnacentral:rRNA from 1 species